AAAGUAAACUCCUCAGCUGAAGAAAGCAGGAGGACAAUCUGUCUUCCUUCUGUUACUGAAUUCUAACUUCACUGCAGUCAGAGAAAAUACUUGAAGUUGACCCACUUUGCACCUCAAACUCUAUCUCAGCUCCCGGAGAACCAGAAAAGGGAUCCAAGUACAUCAGCCAUAAGAAGCAGCACUGGGGCUAGCUGAGUCAGUAGACAAUGAGGAGGGGCCAUGUGUGAGAAUGAGGAUGCAUCACUGGUGGCAAGACAAGAACAUUUCUCCAGAAUGGUGGCAGUUAAUGCUUUACGAGUGGUAAACUGGGAGGGUGUACCAGGGAAGAGGGGACUACAUUACCACAGAUGAAGCUCAAGUGCUACGACUUAGGGAGGUCCUAGCAGGUGUAAGGAUAACAGGACCACAUGGCCAUGGCUAAAGGCCACUGAUGCUCCACUUAAGACGGAAACAAACAGCUGAGGUAACAAGCAACCAAAAGCCAAAUAUAAAAGCCAGAAGCCUAUGCGACUGCCUGCAAAGUCACUCUUAUCAUCAGCAUGGCAGGACAGAAAAAGCCAAAGACCAAAUACAGGAUCUAAGAGACCAGGGGUUAAAUGCCCAACAGCCAACAAGACAAAAAUGCUCACCAAGGCAAGUCAGUUACACUGCAGCGAGGGCUCUGAUUAGGAAAACAGUGGACCCUGGCAUAUGAGAUAGACCUGCCGUCUGCAUAUGCACAGAGUGGAUCCUGUGGUGCAAGGGGUACACAGGGGUAGAUGUGGAGAUGAGCCACCCCAAUCCUUAAUAAAGGAAGGACCUGACACGGUGGGGGUGUAUACUCACCAGACACUGUCCAGCUGUUGUCCUCUUCAGGGUCGGCCUCAGCGGUAAAGAACAGUCUUGCCUGAAGUCACACCCCUGCCAGGGCAGCCCAAGACUGGUUACUAAGUGAGGGGAGGUAUGGACAGUUCCGCCCCAUGCACCACACUCCAGCAAGUGAACUUGGUCCAGGGCCCCCACGGAGUAGGUGAAAGCCUUGUCUAGUCUGCCUCUCCAUCUGCCCAAGCCUGCCUCCUGUCCUCGGCUCUGACAAGUUUCUGUCUCUAAUAUACAACUUGAAUCCAAAUUCCAUCUCAACAACUGCUUCCAAGGAUACCAGAUUGCACUCAAACAGAUCAAACAGAAAUCAGAGUACAAGAAUUAACAUGCAGUUGGAAAGUAUCUGUUUCGGGCGCCUUGGUGGCUCAGUCCAUUAAACCACUGCCUUGGGC